AAAAAAAAAAAGAUGUUGAAUGGCAAAAAAAAAAAAAAAAGACUAUGGAGUAUGAAAGCUAAUUUAUGCUAUGGAAAUAACAUAAAAUCUCAAGAAGUCAUAAUUUUGACUUUCAGAGUCAUUUAGACAUUAAAAAGUCACUAUUUCUCUAAGGAGGCAUGCUCCUUUGGAAGCCCAUUUCUCAUAAUCAUGACUUUAUAGGUCAUAUUUAUGACUUAGAAAGUCAAAAUUAUGACUGAACCUUAAAAUUUAUGUCUUUAUAUCUCAUAAUUCUGAAAUUAAAGGUCAAAAUUUUGACUUCCUGUUGGACUUUUUUCUUUCAUGGGAAAAAUGAGCUUGCAUGGUUGAGAUGUAUGGAAUUAUGGACAAUUUAAAAUGUUUUUUUUUUUUUUUUUACAGCAUUUAAUGUGAUUCAUCUGUUUCGUUACGACUGGAACAGUUAGCCGGCUAACAUAAAGUAGACUCCACUCUUAUUACUCCACUAAUGUAUUUUCUUUUACAAGGUUAUAAAGAUUAAUAAUCCCUCCUUUGAUUAAUUGCCCCGAUAACUUCCUGCUUCUGUUUUUUACCGUCUCUGCGGAUUAACCACAUCUGCCUCAUGACCCUAAUGACCUAAACUAGCAGCGGGGUCGUCCCGCCUCAGUGUCCACGUGGACAAAAACCGACCCGGUGCCCAUUAAUACGUGGCACGGGCUCCUUCCUGCUUUAAUAAUCACAUGGUGUUUAUUUCUGCAGCUGUUUAAACAAAGCCCACCACAAACUACUGAGUCUGCCAACAAAUCUGUUUAGUCUGCUGCUAGCUAAUGUUCCUCACAACAAAUGCCACAAUAAAAGUUCGCCUCAAACACAAAGUGCAGUUUGGUCGCUGCUGCUUGUUCGCCAUCUUAUUUUAUUGGCCGGUCCGCUCUUGAGACUCGCCUUUUGUUCCCAGGAGCGUCGAAGGCUUCAGUUCAGACGCCGCAUUCUCACCUGGAAGUCAUCCUGCAAACAUGUUGCCUUAACUACAUUUGAGCCCGACUGAGAGAGAAACUGAUUUCUGGAUAAAUGGCACAACACGAGGAACUGGAACAGAGAUGUUGCAAAAGCAUUUUGCAGCUGAAGGGUAAACUUGAAACAUACCCCGAUGCUCGUUUUCCUCUAAACGGUUAAGUCGUCGACCUGCUUCCCUCCUGUCCCGUCCUGCCUGCCUGCAGCUCGUUUCUCCUCGCCCUCUGCUCUGAAUCUUCUCCUUCCAGGAAGUCUGCGGUCUGCUCGCCUGUGGAGAAACGAAGGAGAUGUUUCCCCCCAUAAAAACACCACGUGAACAAAUGCUCAGAGGGCCAAGCUCCCAUUAAUCCUGCUGCGACUGCCAAGGGCCCAAACUGUGCAGCGCGGUCAUGUUAACAAGUCGCUGCGUCCAGCGAUAACUGAGGGCUUAUUUUCUUUAAACAAAGGGAGUGCGCAGGUGUUUGUGGGAUUAGAUCAUUUCACCAACUUUACAUCCAAAAACCAGGAAUGUCUUGAGUUAAGCGCCGUGUUUUUGGGUUGCCUAAUGUCAACAUGCCGACAUGUUAAUGCUGCUCAGAUGGAGCCGCAGGUUCAGUCUCUGCUUUCUUCACUUCAGUUCUCCCGUCCAGGACUUUUCCACCUUCUGCAGUUUAACUCGGAGCUUCCCUGGAGAGCAGUCAGAUGUUUCCAGAAGGUUUCUCCACCCGAAGGGGAAAAAUGGGCCUUUUGCUGCUGCUGCUGUUCCCCCAGCAGGUCUGCCCUCCAGCUGUUGGACACCAGAGUCCUGCAGUCUGGGAAAGACUGGAGGCUCGCUCCAAUAUUUUCCAGUUUCCACGCUGGAGGAGCCCACAAGUCAGCCCGACUUCACACGGCUCUCCUCCCCCAGCUGAAUGAGGAAUUCAAGAAGCUUCAAGAAACCAAUUAAUCAGCGAGGACCUGCUCAGGGAUCAAACACAGAGUUCACGCUCGUCCUGCACAGCUGCUGCAGCUGACGGCUGCCAGAGACGACAGCCAAGCGUUGUAUAACUCUUUAAAAUGUUUUGACAUCGGCCGCCUCUCCCGAGUUCAGGCGUGCCAAGUGAAGAUGUGCGCAGCGAGCUGUGGUCACACUGGGACAGGGAGCUUCCCAGUGGCUCCCAGAGCAGCACACAACCUGCGAUACAAUGACAUAAACUGUUUCCUGUCACACUUCCUCACACGGUGCCUUGCAAAGGCAUUAAACUCCUUUUUCACGUGGUCAUCUAGUGGCAAGAGCCCAAAGGAGCCUGUUUUUAACAUGUUUUAAAUUGUUCUGAUCAUGCAUUUUGAGUAGACCUUCAUAGACAUUUAGAUGAUUGAUUAUUCUUCAGAUGAUGUUCUUGAAACAGUGCAAAAUAUGGACUUAUUUUUUUUCUUUUACCCUGAAGUGUGACAGCAAACAGUGGCUCUAGCGGGUGUUGAAUCAGGAUGGUUGAUGUGAUGGCCCAGAGAAACCGGGACUGGCAGGACAUCAGGUGCUGACUGGAAACAUCUGGGCUCCAUCUUCCUGCUCUGUUUAAAACUUCUGACAUGUAGAGUCGCUCUCACUCCUCCAACGAAGGCAUGCCACUCUUCCAACUUGUGGCAUGCACUUUAUUUAAAAAAAAAAGAAUAUCGAAAAUCCUUUCCUUCCAUUUCACAGCUUUGUGUUUGUCUCUCACAUAAAAUGCUGAUAAAGCAC